AUUUUAAUAAAUGUUAAAUAUAAUUCAUAAUACGGCAUUCCUUUGGAUGUGUGUAUUGUGAAGACCCGUGUAUCAAUGCAUGUUUGUAUUUGAGUCUGUGUGAAUGCACUUGUGCAUGUCUGGAUGACUACAUGUGCUUUUUUGUAUAUAGUGUCUGUGUGAAUGCAUAUGUGACAGAGUGUGUGAGGGAGAAGGUGACAGGUGGAAGAGUGUGGGAGGUUGUGACAGGUGGCAGAGUGAGGGGGUACCUGGUGGCAGAGUGAGGGAGGGGUUGAGUGGUGGCAGAGUGAGGG